GAAGGCAGAUGCUCAACCAACUGAUCCACCCAGGCACCCCUCCCAGCUCUAGUCCUGAUCCACUAUCCUCUAUCCAUAACCGGGGCCCGAAUACGGUGGGCCUGAGGAUGCAGGAAGAUGGCGAUUUAUAGGCCCAGAGAUCUGGCUUUCUUCCACGUGUGCUCAGCAGUAAUCUCCAGCCAAACGAUGUCCUGCAGAAGGAUACUGAGAAAACUUGUGGACAAUCCUUUUUAGCAGCUAGAAGCCUGCAGCUAACCAGAAGUAGAACAGAGAACAUCUGAAACUUGCCCCUUUCUGUAGAAAAUCGAGAGUAGGUCUCCUGCUGAGCUGGUACUCAUGAUACACUGAAAUAGGGAGGGUGGGGCGUAGGGAGCAGGGGUACAGAACACCAUCAGAGCCCCAGUUACCAAGUGCCUGCGAUGAGCAAGACAUGAACACUACAGUUUGGAGCCCUAAGAACCGCCAUGCCAAGUUCUAAUUCUUCCACCACCUAAGAGGAAUCAAGUGAUACAACCACUAAAAGAGAUAGGGAGGGGAAAAAAGGACUUUCAAAAACUCCUUCCCUCUUCAACCUGUGGCUAUGCAUUUUUAAGACUCAUGAUAUAUUUUUCCUGUUUUAUUUUUUUCCAUUCUGACUUUUGAAUAAACAUCAGAAGCUUGGAAACAUAGCCAACCUACUUAGAAAAUGUUUACAGCUAUGUUAGUUCUUCAGGACAAUCGAGAAAAUCCAAAAUCAGAACCAAAUUCUGUGUUUAGGAACAGUCACCACCAAAGGAAGUCUCCCGAAACAAAAUGGACUUCAGAUUCUAAAGUAAAACGAUUCAUUCAUGAUAGGAUUUAGGGGUGGCUAGGGAAUAUACAGGGCAGUGAGAAAAGGGUAUUUGAUACAAGUCAUUCUUUAUCAGUUGAAAAUGACCAGAAAUCUCUGGUAUCUUUUUGCAGUGAGGAUAGGAAAGAAAUGCCAUGCACAGUUCAUUCAAAGAAGCUACUAGAGCAUGCUCCAAUUUAGGGAGCAAGAUAUUACAAUGAAAGGAACAAUGGAACCACCACAUAUUUAAUGACAAACGACAUAGCAUAAAUGAUCAGGGCAGUAGGCUUGUAACGAGACUAGUCACAGCUUCCCCAAGCCUGUCUCCUCUUUCCAAAGAGAGAUUUGAGAGAGAAAUUCUGAGGAUCCUUCUGAUUCCAACAUUGGUGCCAUAGAGAAAGAGCUCAGGGAGCAGAGGGCACUGGACCAGAGCCGAAGAAAUGCCUUUCUAGGUGAGAGAAGGCCCUGCACAUCCCCUGGGGUACCCAAGCUGAUGCGUCUCUGAAACCCUCUCUUAUGUAGAAGGUUGCCUCUGAACGCUCCUGGCUCCCUUUCAAUAAGUCCUUUAAAAAGGAAAUGUAUGCAACAGUAUCAGGGAACCUCCCCACCAUGAUCCCAUGGGACCAGCUCUCUAUCACACAUGUAGGGUUCUCUAUUCCAGAAGCGACACAGAUAGGAACAAUGCACAGCACUCCAGCAGGUGUCUGCCAUGUACCUCCAUCCAGCUUCAGGGCGUCGGCUGGCAUCUUCCUUUCGCCAUGUGAUCCCCAUGCCUCCCCCAUCAGGCUGCUCGCUGGCCUCCUGGCUACCAACUGCUUGGCCCCUUGUUCACUGCCAAGCUCCAACCUCACCACCUUUAUAGGAGGUCUCCUCUGAAUGUGUGUGUAUCAAACAGGUAUGCUGUGUCUUAUUCCACAAAGGAUCUGACAAAGCUCAUCAAGACAGAUGCGACAGGAGAACCCUAAAAUGUAACUACUUUAGGGCUGCCUUUUCUGUACAACUCCAUUCACCUUAGAACCUUCUUUCCCCAGCCUGUAGUGCACAUGUAUUGAUAUGCUUCAGAGAAGGCCAUGAUGGAAUCACUAACUUCGUGGACUCCUCUGACUCUCUAGGUCCCCAGGUGGCAUCCAGCACUGGUCACUGCAUAUGGAUAUGCUCAGUAAUUGCUUGUUAUUCCUGAAGAAAGAGCUCACUGCUGGCCCCUCAGUAGCUAGGUUGUGACUGGGAUAUUCUUGUCUACCUUACUUCCCAUCCCAUGAGAAAAGAGACAACUGUGAGCCAUUCCUUCUCUUCCCUGCCCUCUGCAAUGCACAUUCUAGGGGUUGACCAGGUGUGGUUUUAGCCAAGGAAUGAAACCAAACCAACUGGUCCGAGGGAGACCCUGGGCCACGUGUACAGGUUGCUAAGGAGACAAUCACAGACAGCAUCUUACUGCCCCAAGCUACCACCGGCCCAUCCAGGCCAGGGUCAGUGUGACACUGGAAGCACAGCCCUCUCCAGUGCUCAGACUGACCACCUCUUCUUAUGAUUUGCCACUGAAGGGCCUCAGAGAACUCGAGAGAAGACCCGAAGUUAGGCAAACAUACACCGGCCUCCCAAGUAUCCCAUCAGUCCAUA